GGAAUGUUUCAAUAACUCAAAAGGCACUGACAACUGUAAACAACUGAUAAGCUUAUGUGGUCAAUGCCUGCCCAGUAUCUCAGUUCUUAGAACACUGCUAACCCUCCCUUCACAACCCCCGGAUAUCCAAAAGCACUCAUCCCUACCGCCCCCCCAUCCCGCCUCCUUCCCUCUGUAUGUAUGUGCUCUUCUUAUUUUUAUCUUUGUUCAGGCUUCUCCCUUCACUUGUAACCAUGUCUGUCUCUGUAUAUACACAUAAAUGCAAAUGAAUUGAUAAGAUAAUAUAUAUAACUGGCCACUAUGGUAUCGUAUCUUCAAAAAUGCUUCUCAGUCUUCCCGGUACAGUCUUCCCGCUUCAGUAUUGUCUGUACUUGCCUGAUUCUUGGGAAAAAGAAUCUUUUUGCCGAAGAGUUUUGGUGCAGUGAGCAGGAUGUGAUUGGGAAUAUUUGGACAGUUUCUCACAACCAGGCAUAGAGGUAACAACUGUGACUCCCCACGUUAAUCCUCCUGGCAAAUAUACAUGAUGCAGCCUCCUGAGAUCUGAUCUUGGUACAUGUUUCAAAGCUGGCCAGUAUGUGCAACUCCCUACAGGAGGCAGCGGCGAAUGUGUAAAGAAACCAGACACUUAGCUUAUCCACAUUACAGUGCCAGGUGGGAACACAGAGCGGCAAAGUGAACAAUGCACUAGGAGUCAGCGAAAAGAAAGGAUGUCACUCCAAUGUGAUCACCAUUGGUGGGAGACUCUCAGCUCUCUACUGCCUUCACUCACUACUGCAUCCAGGAGCAAUGUAAGCACAUGAUAUUGGCGGUUUCUGAUAUUACUAAUGUGGACAUUUCAAUUAGCAUCAUUGGGUCUCAGCAUUAACAGCUCACUCAGAGAUAAAUUGGGCCACAUUACCCCUCUCGUUCAGCUAUUUUUUCAGGACCGCUUUUGAAAGGUGCCCAACUCCUAUAGGCUUCCAAGAGGAGCUGGGCACCUCAUUCCCGUACUCCUUCUUGAAAGUCCCAUUUUCAGUCUACCUACUUCAGACACAGUCAGGCAGCCUGGCAGUGGUGCACAUUCAGAAGGUUUUCUUUGAACCUAAGAGUACUGUACACUUACAUUUCCUUUUAUAUGAAAAUUUGUGUUUUGCGGCAUUUUUAUUGAUGGGAAGACCAGAUGGCUCCAUUAAAGAUGCUUCUUGCUUAUAGUCAGAUAUAAUCAUGCCCUCCAGCGGAGAUGCACUAAUGACCCAUAACAACAGUAUUGCAUGUCUACAGAGAUUUUUUUACUUGGAGAAUCCCCAGAUGUACAACAGCUAAGGACAACAACGGAAGAAGAACAGUGUAGCUACUGAAAUUUCACGGGGAUUUAAGGUCAGCAGGUGAAUUUACCAAUGAAAGGUGAUGUAGAUAAAGUACAUCUUUAAAAUGUACAAUA